rnacentral:rRNA from 1 species
GACGAACGCUGGCGGCGUGCUUAACACAUGCAAGUCGAACGGAAAGGCGCUGCUUUCGUGGGGUGCUCGAGUGGCGAACGGGUGAGAAACACGUGAGUAACCUGCCCUUGACGUGGGGAUAACUUCAGGAAACUGGGGCUAAUACCGGAUAGGAGCUCCUGCGGCAUGGUGGGGGUUGGAAAGUUUCGGCGGUUGGGGAUGGACUGGCGGCUUAUCAGCUUGUUGGUGGGGUAGUGGCCUACCAAGGCUUUGACGGGUAGCCGGCCUGAGAGGGUGACCGGCCACAAUGGGACUGCGAUACGGCCCAGAGUGCUACGGGAGGCAGCGGUGGGGAAUAUUGCACAAUGGGCGGAAGCGUGAUGCAGAAACGCCGCGUGCGGGAUGACGGCCUUCGGGUUAGAAACCGCUUUCGCCUGUGACGAAGCGUGAGUGACGGUAAUGGGUAAAGAAGCACCGGCUAACUACGUG